rnacentral:rRNA from 1 species
AUUGAACGCUGGCGGCAGGCCUAACACAUGCAAGUCGAGCGGAGGGGAGGACGGGUGAGUAAUGUCUGGGAAACUGCCUGAUGGAGGGGGAUAACUACUGGAAACGGUAGCUAAUAACGCAUAAACUCAGAUGAGCCUAGGUCGUAUUAGCUAGAGGGUGGGGUAAAGGCCCAUCAAGGAGACGAUCCGUAACUGGUCUGAGAGGAUGAUCAGUCACACUGGAACUGAGACACGGUCCAGACUCCUACGGGAGGCAGCAGUGGUGAAUAUUGGACAAUGGGCGAAAGCCUGAUCCAGCCAUGCCGCGUGUGUGAAGAAGGUCUUCGGAUUGUAAAGCACUUUAAGUUGGGAGGCGUUACCAACAGAAUAAGCACCGGCUAACUUCGUGCCAGCAGCCGCGGUAAUUC